CUUCAAAAGCCUAUUAAUAUUAUAUCUGUGUGGUACACAAAUAGGUGUACACAAAGAGGGGGUGUGAGUUAAGUCAUCUCGACCUUCAUAUGGAAUAUGCUUCCUCCUUGUUCACUUUUGGUCAAACUGUUGGUCUGUGACUGGCCCUCUUUGAACUGAAUUUUUUGGGAAGAUACAUGAGAAAGAUACAGCAGGUUGUUUUGGAUAUAAAGAAAGAGGGAAAAGUAUGUUGUAUCGGUCACAAAAGGAUUGUGAUCUUAAGCAGGCGAGACAAAGAAAGUUUGGAGGCGAUAGAUUGAAUCAGAAAAGUUUUAGAGGCAGAGGUAGAGAAUUUGAUCAAAGGAUUUAACUUUUGUAGAGAUGGUAACUUCAGCACUGUUUUAAUUGUGGGUAGCAGGGAUUCACCCCAAGGUGCUUGUGUUCUCCUGGCCCAGCUGGCAUUCAAGGACUCCCACCCUGGCAGGUUCCUCAAUACCAACCAAAACUUUCAAGCUAUACCCACACCCAACAACCUCAG